rnacentral:rRNA from 1 species
GGAGGAUGUGGCUUAAUUCGAGGAUACGCGAAGAACCUUAUCCUGGUCUUGGCAUGUACGGAUAGCAAUGAAAUGAAAGGGAUAGUCCCUGCCUUCGGGUGAAACGUACACAGGUGCUGCAUGGCCGUCGUCAGCUCGUGUCGUGAGAUGUCGGGUUAAGUCCCUUAACGAGCGAAACCCUUGUUCCUAGUUGCCAGCACGUAAUGGUGGGGACUCUAGGGAGACUGCCGGUGUUAAACCGGAGGAAGGUGGGGAUGACGUCAGGUCCUCAUGGCCUUUAUGACCAGGGCUGCACACGUCCUCUUAUACGGAUGUAUAGAGGGAAGCGAACUCGCGAGAGCAAGCAAAUCCCAAAAAGCACCGCCCAGUUCGGAUUGCCCCCCUGU